rnacentral:rRNA from 1 species
CACACCGCCCGUCACACCAUAGGGAGUUGGUUUUACCCGAAGACAGUGCGCUAACCAGCAAUGGAGGCAGCCCGGCCGACGGUAGGGUCAGCGACUGGGGUG